rnacentral:misc_RNA from 1 species
UUUUGGUGCGGCCAACCGAACAUAGGGCUGUCUCUUCACUCUCCCACCCGUCAUUGAACAUGUCGUGGUCGGGAUGCUUCCGAUCGGUUGCCUGUGCGGUUCUACCCUCUUGUGGGUAGCGAASUCGUCCCUUGAUGGAUAUWUGCUUGCCCUUGUGACAUUUUUGUGUCGUYUGGGCAGCCGAAAUGUUGGCGAUAUCCUUGUGUUGGCGCGUGGUUGAAUGMYGUGUUGCUAUCACUUGGAUUUUUGCCGGCUCUCACGGAUGCGGUGCCUAGCGCUAGCUCUGCGGGACUUUGCCCCGCAGACUUCGGGAGGUCCCUUGUACGAAUCAUUGCUCUUAUACGCCGUCUUGUCGUGCCGYUACCGYGGCACGCAGAUCGUGUUCUUUCGUGCAGUCGUUGACAGCA